rnacentral:rRNA from 1 species
GACGAACCGUGCAAACGUUGUUCGGAAUCACUGGGCUUAAAGGGCGCGUAGGCGGGCAGGCAAGUCGGAGGUGAAAGCCCACGGCUCAACCGUGGAAGUGCCCCCGAUACUGCCAGUCUUGAGGGAGGUAGGGGCGUGCGGAACUUCCGGUGGAGCGGUGAAAUGCGUAGAUAUCGGAAGGAACACCGGUGGCGAAGGCGGCUUCCUGGACCGACACUGACGCUGAGGCGCGAAAGCUAGGGGAGCAAACGGG